GAUGAACGCUAGCGGCAGGCCUAAUACAUGCAAGUCGAGGGGCAGCGGGAGUAGCAAUACUUGCCGGCGACCGGCGCACGGGUGCGUAACACGUAUACAAUCUACCUUUAACAGGGGGAUAGCCCGGAGAAAUCCGGAUUAAUACCCCAUAACAAAUUGAAUGGCAUCAUUUGAUUUUGAAAGCUUCGGUGGUUAGAGAUGAGUAUGCGCCUGAUUAGUUAGUUGGUGAGGAACGGCUCACCAAGACUACGAUCAGCAGGGGAUCUGAGAGGAUUAACCCCCACACGGAUACUGAGACACGGAUCCGACUCCUACGGGAGGCAGCAGUAAGGAAUAUUGGACAAUGCCCGCAAGGGUGAUCCAGCCAUGCCGCGUGCAGGAAGACGGCCCUAUGGGUUGUAAACUG
rnacentral:rRNA from 1 species